GAAAAAAUUCCGUAUCGGAAUUUUUUUAUUAUUUCCAAUAACUGACUAUAAAACGAAGGUUUUAUGGUACUUAAAAAUUAAGCCUUGUAAAAACAGUUAGAACAAUCAAAGGAGCGAAAGAAGUUGCCGCAGGUAAUAAAACGAGAAAAUUACUGCCGUAUAAGUGUAAAUAGAGUGGCUAAGGGUAAACGUGGCCCUAUCACUGUUCGACAGCCCCGGUGUGGAUUUGUUGAAUCCCUGAGGAAAAGGAAAAAAGGGGGAGAUGACAGUUUUCAAGUACGCCAUUCACAAUGAUGAUUUUUGAAAAGAUCAGUGCAAAAACCAUAAUUUAACCACCACCAUAAGAUGAUUUGUCCUCGACAAAAGAGAAACGCCUGUCUUUGUUAUCUCCCAUGGAACAAAGUGGGUAAAGUUGGACAGCAGUUUCAAGUUGAAUGACGUUCCGUAGAGUAAUAUACCGGCUUGAGAACUUCAAAUAACAGUCCAAUCAGCACAUUGAACUUAACACUCGCUUUGCUUACUCGGAUGCCAAAAGAGAAAAAACGAAUCCAAACAAAAGGUUUAAGAUGCCAAUCAGAUUACAAAGGAUUUUUAUGUAGUCAAGGCUGUCGCUAUUUUAAGUUUAUCAUC